CCAACGGCCCUCUUUAGGGCCACAAAUAGUGUUCGAGUGCUUGAAU
rfam:Necator americanus N_americanus-1.0_Cont1.314, whole genome shotgun sequence.